UUAACUCAGGUUUGUAUGAAGUUUGAACGUUUGCCUACGUUUGCCGCUAGGGGCGAUGUUCCAACUUCAUACAUAUUUCAGUUA
rnacentral:pre_miRNA from 1 species